UCCAGGUUCUGAUUGGCUGAAUGAUGUUUGCGUCACAGUCUUCAAAAGAAGUGCGUGUUUUCAAAAGAAGUACGUGACUUCCAUUGCUUCUCCAACAUGGUCGCGGUGAUAUGUCGCUGUAUUGGACAGCUCAACAAAUUAUGGAGAAAGUCAGUUCCCCUCGCUUUUGAAGGAACUCGUCGUUGGAUCUGUAAAAUUACAUCAAUGACAACAACAACUGCAACAACACAAAAGUAAGUCAAAACAUUGUACCAAUUUGCCAUAGAAAAGUGCGAAUGGUUUUGAGGUGACUAUGUUUUAAAUGUAAUUAUGUGUAUUAUAGACUUGAAUGGAUUGGGUCAUAUUGCACGUAGGUAAGAUCAAGGAUCAAUAGAAUAACUAGGCAUUAGUAUAAAUCACACUUACUACUUGUGAAAAAGCUCAGGCUUUUACUUCCUACAUGUAUCAUUUAGGAGAACCUGCUGUGUAUGGUAUAAGGCGUCCAUUGUGAAUUUCAGAGGCAAGUGUAUGUUCUUAGAUGUGGUUCUAGCAAAGUCGAAGUAAACGAGGGGUAUUGCCUUGCUUGGUAUUUACAGUAUUUGUUUAUGUCGUUGUUUUCCUGUUAACGAUAUGAAAAAUUGGAAACCUGUAUUAAGCUAUUUCUGCCAGUGUUUAUCCAUCUGGUGCUGAGUUUUAGGUUACUGCUGGGUACCAUACCACGAAAAAUGUUGCUGCAGAAAUGUGUUCUUCUUCUGUGGGAGGAAUUAGUUCCAACACAAAUGUACAGCCUUAUCUGGUGGCACAUACAUAAUCGAGGGAAUUCAUUAAACAUUUGACGAAAUGAAUUUCAGUCUCGAAGGAAACUGAAAAAUGAAUCUCAUAUGGGAGUCUUGAUGCUUGUCUAAAAAACAGUGUUAAAGGAACAAGUAUUCACUCACAGUUUAAGAUUUUUUGUCUCUCUGUGCUACAGUUCAUGAAGAAGCAUGUGCAAAGCAAGGUUCAUUGCAGAACAUAUAACAUCUACCACCUAAAUUUUCAUAGUCAUAAAUAUUUGAAGAUCCAGCUGGUCAUUUGCAGAUUAAGGCAAAGGUUAUUCCAAAUUAUCCCAAUUUGAAAGGAUCUUAAAAUCUGACAGAAACCUUUCAUCAGACUUUGUGAUUUUCUACUUUCUGUUCCUGAAGCUUUCAAUCACAUUUGCCUGCAGUCAUAUAAACUUCCAAGGUCCAAGAAUAGACCUUCAAGCAUAAAUGUUAAACCGCAGUUUAAGUAACUUAAACUAUACAGGAGUAAAGAAAUCCUGCAAUCAUGUUUUGCCUUUAUCUGCAACUGAUGGAGCUGGAUUAAUAUACCAAAUGUUGCAAUCCUACCAUCAUUAGCUUGUUUAGCAAAGCUAAGCAAAAUGACCACUGCAACCAUGUGUCUGCUAUUAUGACAGAGUGAACCAUUCACGCUCGAGCAUGCCCUGCUCAAAUCUCAAAUCACAUAGCUCUCAUUGAACAAGGUCACCCACCCAAGUGCUUGAUUUUUUUAAUAUAUGUGAAGCCUAUUUAAAUUUAUUGAGAACUAUUGUUUAGUUUAAAUAACACUAACCAGAAAAUGCCUCGCUGAGAUGAAAAAUCUGAGUGGCCUGCCUGGGACUGCAACAGCACACAGCUUUCAGCCACAAGAGACCACAUGAGACUUUAUUUCCUGUUGGCAUUGUCUCCUUUUUAGCAGGGAAGUGACCUCCUUUGCAUUUCAGCACCCUGUCCAGAGUAGAUGUUGAGCAGACCUUAAAGCACCAGAGUGAGGGGGUGUGACACUAGUGACACUCUGCUGAGAGUCGAGUCUUUUGAUGACAGAAAAGCCUGGCUCUGACAUGGCUGCUGCCCCGGGAGCCCAUUUCACUCCUGCAAAUCUGGAGCUCUUUUUUUCUUUUUUAAAGUGAACAUGGAUGCACACGUUUAUACAGUGCUGCAUUCAUAUCUGUAUUGCCCAAAUAGUUGUGCAGAAACAUUGAAGGGUGGAAGUGAGUGCCGGUGCUGAUAGAACAAUAGGUGUCUGGUUGUGAAUUGCUGAUGUGCAAGCUGUAGGCAGGUGCACGUGAUAAGGGAGCAGAGCUCCAACCUAUCCUGAUAAGUAGGCAGCUGGCUGAACAUUGUUAUUCUGUCCGUCCUCUAUUGCCUUGUUCUUCUCACUUAUUGACAGCUCAGAAGUCUCAGAGUCCACCGCUGCUUUCUUUGACCUGUUGAGUAAAGAACAUCUCUUAUUAUUAUUGAAUAGAUGCCAGUGCCCAAAGAAAACAUAACAAAAUUAUUAUAUAAGCAAUAGAAAAGAAGUUAAACUCAAAUAAAAUUCCUUAUAGUUCACGUUUGUAUUCAUAUUUUUCGAUAAUUUGGGUUGUGUACUGACGUAAUGGCAAAACUGACAAAUAAUAUCUUAAGGUCUUUGUCAUUUAUACAAUAACAGAUAAUUUCCCUUU
ensembl:lncRNA